UACGUAGGUGGCAAGCGUUGUCCGGAUUUACUGGGCGUAAAGGGAGCGUAGGUGGAUAUUUAAGUGGGAUGUGAAAUACUCGGGCUUAACCUGGGUGCUGCAUUCCAAACUGGAUAUCUAGAGUGCAGGAGAGGAAAGGAGAAUUCCUAGUGUAGCGGUGAAAUGCGUAGAGAUUAGGAAGAAUACCAGUGGCGAAGGCGCCUUUCUGGACUGUAACUGACACUGAGGCUCGAAAGCGUGNGAGACACAGU
rnacentral:rRNA from 1 species